rnacentral:rRNA from 1 species
GAUGAACGCUAGCGGCAGGCCUAAUACAUGCAAGUCGAACGAGAUUGAGGAGCUUGCUCCUCAUGAAAGUGGCGCACGGGUGCGUAACGCGUAUGCAAUCUACCUUAAUCAGGGGGAUAGCCCGGAGAAAUCCGGAUUAAUGCCGCAUAACGUUAUUUUAUGGCAUCAUAGAAUAACCAAACAUUUAUGGGAUUAAGAUGAGCAUGCGUGACAUUAGUUAGUUGGUGAGGUAACGGCUCACCAAGACUACGAUGUCCAGGGGAUCUGAGAGGAUGACCCCCCACACUGGUACUGAGACACGGACCAGACUCCUACGGGAGGCAGCAGUAAGGAAUAUUGGUCAAUGGGCGCAAGCCUGAACCAGCCAUGCCGCGUGCAGGAAGACGGCCCUAUGGGUUGUAAACUGCUUUUAUUCGGGAAUAAACCUCUUUACGUGUAAGGAGCCGAAUGUACCGAAGGAAUAAGGAUCGGCUAACUCCGUGCCAGCAACCG